GUAUAAGAGACAGCAGCCGCCGCGGGAAUACGGAGGAUCCAAGCGUUAUCCGGAAUCAUUGGGUUUAAAGGGUCCGUAGGCGGUCUUGUAAGUCAGUGGUGAAAGCCCAUCGCUCAACGGUGGAACGGCCAUUGAUACUGCAGGACUUGAAUUAUUGGGAAGUAACUAGAAUAUGUAGUGUAGCGGUGAAAUGCUUAGAGAUUACAUGGAAUACCAAUUGCGAAGGCAGGUUACUACCAAUUGAUUGACGCUGAUGGACGAAAGCGUGGGUAGCGAACAGGAUUAGAUACCCCUGUAGUCCCUGUCUCUUAUAC
rnacentral:rRNA from 1 species